AGCCUUCUGAAUUCGUGUCGAGAUUUCGUCAGAUACCGGACUAUCAGUACCAAUGAGACUCCUAAGCUAAGUGAAGCA
rnacentral:pre_miRNA from 1 species